AUUGAACGCUGGCGGAAUGCUUUACACAUGCAAGUCGAACGGCAGCACGGACUUCGGUCUGGUGGCGAGUGGCGAACGGGUGAGUAAUGUAUCGGAACGCGCCCAGUCGUGGGGGAUAACGUAGUGAAAAUUACGCUAAUACCGCAUACGAUCUAUGAAUGAAAGCGGGGGAUCGCAAGACCUCGCGCGAUUGGAGCGGCCGAUAUCAGAUUAGGUAGUUGGUGGGGUAAAGGCCCACCAAGCCAACGAUCUGUAGCUGGUCUGAGAGGACGACCAGCCACACUGGAACUGAGACACGGUCCAGACUCCUACGGGAGGCAGCAGUGGGGAAUUUUGGACAAUGGGCGAAAGCCUGAUCCAGCCAUUCCGCGUGCAGGAUGAAGGCCCUCGGGUUGUAAACUGCUUUUGUACAGAACGAAAAGGUUUCUACUAAUACUAGGAGCUCAUGACGGUACUGUAAGAAUAAGCACCGGCUAACUACGUGCCAGCAGCCGCCGUAA
rnacentral:rRNA from 1 species